rnacentral:rRNA from 1 species
GCCUACCAAGGCGACGAUCCAUAGCUGGUCUGAGAGGAUGAUCAGCCACAUUGGGACUGAGACACGGCCCAAACUCCUACGGGAGGCAGCAGUGGGGAAUAUUGGACAAUGGGCGCAAGCCUGAUCCAGCCAUGCCGCGUGAGUGAUGAAGGUCUUAGGAUUGUAAAGCUCUUUCACCGGGGACGAUAAUGACGGUACCCGGAGAAGAAGCCCCGGCUAACUUCGUGCCAGCAGCCGCGGUAAUACGAAGGGGGCUAGCGUUGUUCGGAAUUACUGGGCGUAAAGCGCACGUAGGCGGAUAUUUAAGUCAGGGGCGAAAUCCCGGGGCUCAACCCCGGAACUGCCUUUGAUACUGGGUAUCUUGAGUGUGGUAGAGGUGAGUGGAAUUGCGAGUGUAGAGGUGAAAUUCGUAGAUAUUCGCAGGAACACCAGUGGCGAAGGCGGCUCACUGGACCACAACUGACGCUGAGGUGCGAAAGC